GAUGAAGAACGCAGCGAAAUGCGAUAAGUAGUGCGAAUUGCAGAAUUCAGUGAAUCAUCGAAUCUUUGAACGCACAUUGCGCCCCUUGGUAUUCCAUGGGGCAUGCCUGUUCGAGCGUCAUUUGUACCUUCAAGCUUUGCUUGGUGUUGGGUGUUUGUCUCGCCUUUGCGUGUAGACUCGCCUUAAAAUAAUUGGCAGCCGGCGUAUUGAUUUCGGAGCGCAGUACAUCUCGCGCUUUGCACUCAUAACGACAGCGUCCAAAAGUACAUUUUACACUCUUGACCUCGGAUCAGGUAGGGAUACCCGCUGAACUUAAGCAUAUCAAUAAGCGGAGGA
rnacentral:misc_RNA from 1 species